rnacentral:lncRNA from 1 species
UGUCUUCGAAGAAGCCGCAUUCGUGGUUUCUAUCUGCAACAGCCUGUUUUUCUUCAUCAGUAAAACUCCAUGAAUACAACAUCUCAAGGUAAAUUUCACAAUGAAUUUGCAAAAUUAAGAGAAAGGAGAGCCAAUAUGGCAUAAUUCUACAUACCUCUGUUUUCCUGAGAUUGGUCAGCUUAAGGGCCCCGAAUGGUACCAUAGCAGAGAGAGAAUCACCUCCAUUACAGGUCGAAAGCGAGUCAUCAUUGUCGCUGUCAAUGCACGAGUCGAAGACCGUGCUCGAACUCGUAGAGGAAAUUCGAUCCAAGACCACCGAUUCACCAAUUUCUCUGUCUACAACACAGCCUGAAACAUCCGAACUCCGUCCAUUGUCUCGCUUACCAACAUCAGAAGAGGCCCUUUGCGCAGACUUUGCGGAAGAAACAAGCUUCAAAAUCACAGAUUUCAGCAGCUUUGAGUAAUUGGGUUUCUCUCUCCUCCUCAUCUUAACAGUGUUGCACCUGCUAAAGCUCUGUAAAUUCUUGCAAUCAUCAGCAGUCCAGCAACUGCUGUCUCCCUUGAAUUCCAAGCUUUUCUUUGAGUGCCCAUUUUCCAGAAGGUAAACAUCAAGAAGAAAUGGCUCUUGCUUCUCUUCCAAAAGCUCUUUGAGCCUUCUCACAUGGGGUGCUGGUUUCUCCAUUAGAUCUAGAGAGAGAGCUUGGGGGAGGAAAUGGUAGAGGAGAAUGGGAUUGAGUUUAAGAAAACUUGAGGUUGGCUGAUAUUAAAUAGGGUUGACAAGGCAUAUCUGUCAGUUGGGGAGUGAGCAAGGAGGGGUUAGAGAGAGAAAGUUAGAGAGAGAAAAUUUAAAUAUGAAAUUCUUAGGAAGGAUGAGACAUAAUUGCAGAGAGGUGGAAAGAAUCUGAGGAUUGUUUUGUUUGGAAUUGUGUUGGGGGACCGCAGGAGGAGAGAGAAUGGGCAUUUCUUGGCAGGUUAUGGGCCUCACCUAAUGCUGCACGUGUGCACCUUGCACUCCAUGCUCUUGCGUUUGAAUGUUCACGGAUGUGACACGUCUCUCUCUAUCUUACGGUUCCCCUUCUGCCUCUCUCUCUCUAGCUUCCAUUUCCUUCUCUCUCUAGGUCUAUUUGCCCUGUGAUUUUGCAGAGCAGGUCUCUCUCGCUUUUUUUCUCUCUAGCUUCCAUUUCCUUCUCUCUCUAAGUCUAUUUGCCUGUCAUGUCAUUUUGCAGAGCAGAGAUGCAAGACACUUGACUCUCGCUCUUUCUCUCUCUAGCUUCCGUUACCUUCUCUCUAACUCUCACUCUUGCUCUCUCUAGCUUCCAUUUCCUUCUUUCUCUACGUCCAUUUGCUUGUUUUGAAACAUUCACUUUGUCUCCAAGCCAAAAUAUACUGGAACAAAAACAUGCGAAAAUUAGGUGCGGACUGUAGUACAAAGCGUGCGGUUGGUAUAGAGCCGAGGCUCUAAACAAUCAAAGUAAAGCCCACCUUCAAAUAGUAUCGAUAAAUGUGGUUUCAAUACUGGCAAUCAUUGUGAUAGCCUUAAAAUCUGUUUUCAUCUUUAAUUAUAAAAUUUAAAGCUUAAAAAAUAGUGUAGAUUGAGCAGAUCUAUUAAAACUUGAAAAUUAAAAAAAUUGACGUUCUAAAAAUACGUUUCAAGAUGCACUAUUUUCAAAACUUGAAAUCCAUUGUUUUCUCGUGUCCAUGCAACUUCAUGUCAAAUGAUCAAUUUGAGGAUAUUUGAGCAUCAAAACACCCUCUUCUAAUGAAAUUUUUAAGGUGGGCUCUAAUUUGAUUGUUUAGAACUUGGGUUCUACGUAAACUUUUUUGCUCUAGUAAAUUUUAUGAGGACCUGCCCUUUUUUUUUUCGUUGUUUGUUAGUGUUACCAUUUAGGUCUGAUGUUUGUUUUAUGUUUAAUGUUUGAUGUUUUAUUAUUUAUUUUUAAAAUUUUUGUGAACUCUAGAGCCGUCAGAUGACCUAGAUAUUGGACAGCCCUGGCUUUGGGUUAGUCUGUAGUUGGGGAUGUCAGACUACCUAAACAUCACAAUGCAGGUAUUUCCAGUCCAAUGUCUUGCCCCACAAAAGUUUUUUGAAGUGUGGAGCAGAUGUUUAUAAUUAUCAUCAAAACUUUUUUUCAUCUAUUUGGAGUCGGCUAUACAAAUCUCAAUCUUUCAUCCUGUUCGGUUUGAUAUUUGUCAUAUUAAAUUCUUUUUGGUCUAUAUUAUAAAUGUAAUUUGAUACUUGAGAAGUUAAAUAGCUUGUGCUAAAUUAGGCCCUAUAAACCCGCGCCCCACUCUCCCUCUCCACAGUUUCCACACUCUCUCUUUUGGCAAUCUAAUUUUCCUAACAUUGGAUUGACCUAAAAAUUAGGACUUGUCUUAUAUCUAGGCCAUCUGGUAACGCUAGAGUUUAUAUAAAAUAAAAUAAAAUUUUAGUCUCAUGUUUGUGACACCAAACCUGAGGUAAAAUUGGAACAAAAAACCACAAAAAGGAUUUUUUUUUUUUGUAGACCAUGCAGCUCUGGUCGACGCAAUUUCUUCUAAAAUAUAAUUGUACGCAAUUAUCGUGUGGGAGCAUAUCGUACAUUUACUCUUUCAGGCCAAAGAGCCAAAUUUCAUCUCAAUUUUAAGAUUCACUAAUAAACUGAUUUUAAAAAACAAUUUCAUCUCAAUUUUAAGCGGGAAUUUCACUUGUAAUGCACUUCGAUUUGACCAUUCAAGACUUGGAAAAGCCUUUACGGCACAAGAAGUUUUACUUUGUGCGGCCUUGUUAAAAAAAGACGUUUUACUUUUUAUGGAGCACCUAAAAAGUAUGUUUGAUCUUUUCCUUCUUCUUUUUUUAUUGUUAGAGUUUCCAUUUUUUUUUUUUAAGUUUGCUAGGUUAAAGACCUGCACGACCACGAUUCAGACGCCUAUGCAGACUCCUAAACUGGAUUCCAUCGAAGAGAGUAAAUGAAGAAAAUACUACCACGAAGAUCUCUCUCUCUCUCUCAAGAAAAUUGUGGUGAAAACAUGCAUAAUGCUUCUCUCUCUGUCUCUGCGAACGCUCCAUGCUACGUCUAAUCACAAGGAUACCAAUUGAGCUUUCAAAGGCAGGACCACUUUCGCCCUUUCGCCCUCUGGAUCUGUUGCCUCGGAUCCCCUCUCUCUCUCUCUGCGUGGUUAAAACGCGCAUCUCCCUAUAAGGGUGGCAAUGGGCUGGGCUAGCCUUGGCCCCCGUUCGGACCUUAUCCCCAAAGCUCUAGCCUAGCUCGGCCUUAGAUCUGUUAGGGCCUGGCCAGAAAGCAAAAUAGAAAAAAAAUAAGAAAAAAAGCGGGCCGGGCUGUAGGGGUGGCAGUGGACCUAGAUUUGACACGGGUCCUACCACGUAUACUUAACACGGGUCUGAGUAUGAGUCCAACAUUUGGACCUGGCAGGUCACGUCCGGGUGCAAAACCUGGAUCCGAAUAAUAUUCAGGUCCAAGUCUGGUUGGACACAACCCGUACUCGAAAAAUGUUAGAGAUAAAAUACUUCAUGCCCUUUUCAUUUGGGUGUAUUAAAGAUAGUAUAUAAUAAGAUCUCAUGGUCAUCUUUAACUAUUGAAUGACAAAUCAGAUAUAGCUUAAAAUUUAGCGGUACAUGAUUGUCACCUUGUUACCAAUAAUAUAGGUAUAUGAUGGUUAAAAAAGAGCAUAAAAAAAAGAAAAAACUCAUAGUGAGGGUGGAAAUGGACCUGACCAGACCCGAGAUUCGAUAGGUAUGGGUAUGGGUCUAACAGUUGGACCCGACAAAUUCCUAUUUGGGUCCAACUUUUGGACCAUGCUAUUCAGAUUUGGGUCCAGGUCCAACAGGACCCGACCUGUUGCUACCCUUACCGGUCUGGCACUGGCACUAGUCUAGCUCUCGAGUCACAUUUUGCAGCCCAAGCCCUAUUUGUUUUUAGAGUUGGGUCGCCCGGCCCAUUGCUAAUCCUAUCUCCAUAAAAAAACAUGAAUUUUCUCUCGUAAAAACUCUCUCUCUUCGACUCUCACUCUCAGAUAGAAAAAAAUUUGAGGGUUUACAUCUCUCUCUCUCACGUACAAGACAGCACCCAUUUGUCAUGCCAACUAAAGUAGAGAUACAAACAAGCAUAACAAUGUGGCACCGACCACACGUGUUGCAAACGCGACCAUGCAUCUCCCUAAAUAAAACAAGGGUGUGGUUUUCCAUGAGGUUGUAACCUUCAAAUUUUAUCAUUACAUAUAUAAUUUUGAUGUAAAAUAUUUUUAGAAUUAUUUUAAAAUCUAUUUUCAUAUCUAAUUAUAAAAUUUUAAACUCUAAAAAUAAUUAAAAUCAACUAGAGUUAUAAACAUAUGAAAAUUUUGAAAAUGGACGGUCUAGAUAAUAUGUUGUGAGAUGGACCAUUUUUUGAACUCAAAAUCCUUUUUUUUUUAUAGUCAUACAUCUCGAUGUCGAGAUGAUCAAUUAGAGGGUUUUCAACAUUAAAAUAACUUUUACCGAUAUAUUUUUGAGGUGUAUCCAUAGUUCUACAUUUUAAAGUUGCAACCUUAUAUAAACUUUUUCCAUAAAACAAAUCGCUCUCCCUCUCUCUCUCUAAAAAGACAGGAGUUUUCUCCUAAUGAAACAACCUUUCGCUCUCUCUUUCGUAACGAAACAUCCUGUCCCUCUCACACUCGUAAACGUUCCUUUUCUCUCGUGGAACAAAACUAGACGGCUUAUGGUCCCCUUUCCCUUUGUUGCAAAUGGGUACAAAUCAAGUCAAGAAAAGACUACAACGACAUUCCAAGUUUUUUUUUUUUUGGAAAAAGAAAGUUUGUCGGGCCUCUCUCUCUAACACAAUUUUAUAUGCAGCUUGGUUUUGUUUUGUAAAUUUAUUAACUUCUCUCAGCUCAAAUCUAUGCCUAAUGUUUACAUGCCUACCGACACUGUAUUAAUCUACGUUAAUGCAGCUAACACAUACUAUGGAAUUGUCAACAUCAUGUUUAAAAUUAGCUCUCUCUCUCUCUGGGGGAAUUUCUGAGAAGCCGCCAUGCCAAAACAACAUUAGAAAAGAACCAUGCCAAAACAACAUAAGAAAAGAAACAUUGAACUUUCACUAAAGUCCAGAAAUCCCAUAUCUAAUCAGAAUAUUGUUGGAUCGCAAAAUCUUGAAGAACAAGGACGGUCCUUUAUACAAAAGAUCAAUAAAUUAAAGGUUAUGUCUUGGAUUCAUUGAAUGCCAAGGAGAGACAUUUCAAAUAUCAAACAUCAAUAUAAUCAAAGGACAUCAUACAAGAUCCCCCCCUCAUAAUGUAAAACGUGAGGGGGAACAUGAGAGAGACACUUGAAGAUAAACAUGAAGAUCUGGUGUGGGAGAAGAUAGAGAGAGAAAUUACGGGGAGAGAGUUUUAACCUCUGUGAUAGAGAUAUAGGUGCGGUGUAAUAAAUCGUUAGAGUGCUUUGGACUCGGAUAUCAAGCGAAAUGUCUUCAUGCACCUUGCAUUGGCCCUGAUCUCAUGACAGGUAGAUGCAAAUGAAGUAAAUCUUUGGGAAAGAGCAGUGCGAAACUGGCGAAGCUCUUCUUCGAGAGCCUCUCUCCUUUGCAACUCGAUGCUCAACACCUUGGCUAUCUCCUCCUUUUGGCUAGUGAGCAUUGCAAGGUUCUGGGUGGACUUGGAGAUAAAUUGUAAUAGAGAGUCUCUCUCUUCUCUAAGGCUCUUGCACUGUCUCUCGAGGCUCUCACGCUUUUCCUUGGCUGCAACCAAUUGGUUGUUCAAUUCCAAGUUUAAGUCCUGCACAAUAUCAUUCACAAAAGGAAUAAACAUCAUUCAAGUUACACGAUACAUCGGUGCAUGAAAAUUUGACGUCCCUUAUUGUUAAUAAGAAAGUUGGCUAAAAAAUGUAAUUUUAACAUGUAAAUGGAAAAAAAAAAGUUAUGCAUAUCAAUGUAUCUGAGCUCUAAAAUUUCUAUCUUCGCAUAUUAAUGUACAAAAAGAUACACUAAAGUGCACCCUCAAGUGCAAAUUGCUUCGGGACAGGCAAAAUUUAUCUUAAUUUGCCAAUGACAAAAUUAAAAUAACUUACUAAAUGACCAGUUAGUCCUAAUACACAGACAUCAAAUGCAGAAAAAUUCAACCAAAACAAAAUCACCCUUAGAAGUUAAACUCAUUAUCUACAGAUUACAACAAAAACCUAGAUACAAGUAAUUUGUGUUGUAUGGCUGGUUAUUAAGUCUAAAACUAAGGCUCCAUUUUUUAAAGGCCUCCCUGGAGGGAAUUUGCAAAAACAUACAUACUUAAAUGCAUAAUACAUAUAUAAGAAUGUACAUAUAUGUCCAUGCAUGGCAGAGUACAUAACAAAUUACACGCUUGGUUGAAAAGGGUCAACUACCUUGAGUUCAUUAUUUUCUUUUAGACUCUGUGGAGAAUUCAAAGUAGCAACAGCAAAGCUCAGCUUGUCAGUGAGCAAUCUACAUUGUUCUUCAAUUAAAGAAUCUGCUCCACCACAAUCUGUUUCCCCAUGCAAAAAUCUAGAGAAGUGGCCCUCUAAAGUUGUAAGAAGACUUAUUCCAAUGUCCCUUGCACAAGAUAGCAAUACCGCCUGAAGUGACUCCUCAUCAGUUGUGCAGCUCUGUUCAUGUUACAGAAUUAAUAGGAAAUUUUGCAGUAGAAAAAUUCAUGAUAUUAAUCUGUAUGAGUGUGAGAAAUCUUCACCUGAAUCUUAGAAAAAACUUCUUUCAAAAUGUCUUUGCAGUCAGCUACAGCUUCAGAUAUCUUCUCCGGAAAUUGCCUUGCUAACACUGCCUCACGCUGGAGUUGAGACAAUUCUUCCGUUAAUUCAUUGCUAAACAAUUGUUAGUUUUCAUUAUCUUUCUGCAAAUUAAGUUGAAAGGAAUUCUUAGGUUCAAGAAUAGACCUCAAAUUGCAAACCAUAUGUAAUAACUAGAACAUAGUUGUUGGAGAUGGGAGCAGGAUCGUUCGGGAAUCGCCAAACCAGUCUAUAAUAGAAGCUCCCUGGGGUUAGGAUCAGCGUUCGUAUAAUGAACAAGACAAGGAACAAAAUCCUUACGUUAAUAGGAAGGGAUCCCAUGUCAAUGGAUUCGAUGUUUUGACUAGCAAGAAUCUAAGCUCUACUAUACUUAAAACUGAGGUUGUGUAUGAAUUCCCUUGGUUAAGGAAUCGAGGUUUAACUAUGUCAUAUAAUGGGAUUCCUCUUGUUCUAAUAUCAUGAUUCUUAAAGUAUAGGAAUCAAAGUCAUCAGCUGGUUAGCCCUGACAACCCAAAAGCCUAUCACUCAAGGGUCAUCUUCUUCGAAUGUUGUCUCCUCUGCUUCCAUUAGUUCUCAAAGGCUGGCUCUCUGAAGGGGCAAGAUGAACUACUCUCUCUCUCUCUCUCUCUCUCUCUCUCUGACAUAAAAGAAGCUUUUUAAAGCUUGAAAUGAAAGCAUAUAUUCUUAUCUCACAACUAAGAGGAUUCAUCAUUGUAAUUUAAGAAUAUAAAACAAUAGGACAUCAUAAAUAUAAGAUUUUAAAUGAAAUAUAUAUUCUCACAACUAAGAGGGAUGACUUACACAAUAGGACUUAAUAAAAUAAUGGGCCACUCUAGACUAUGCCUAGUACAAAUUAAGAAUCUAAAAUAAUGGAACUUCGUGCUUUGCAAAAAAAAAACUGUAUUUUACCAUCAUGGAACUUAUGAUCCCUAAAAAUGGGAACUUGGGACAAUGGUAAUCUCUAACUUGGUAUCAUCCGUAGAUAAAAGUAGAUCCCACAAACAUGGAACCCAAGAUUUUAAUGAACCAAAACCUUGGACCAUGGUUGAUGGGAGUGGAGAUCUAUUUUGAAAUGGAACUAGAUUUCACUGAUCAAUGGAACGUGGUCCUCUUUUUUUGGGAGCGAGAUCCCAAAAUUAUAAAACCGGGGUCCUUACAAGAUCUUUUGCAGGAACCGUGGGAUUGAGAUUCCGAAGCGGGAUUGCCACCAAACCAACAAGGUUCCCUUAACUAUAAACUAGAAACAAACAAUAUAUCUAUUGGCCCCAAGUUUCAGAAUUACAAGGUGCAAUUAUCUUUUGAGGAUAUGGAAAGUCAUCACACUAUAUCCCUUCAAAUAACAAGAUAAUUUCCAAUACAUCCAAGGAGAGACUGUGUAUGAUACACUAUAAGUAUCUGAGUCAUGUAUACAACAAACCCACAUUUUUCUUUCCAAACAACAUAUGCACUUGUGGACAAGUAUAAUAAAUGAUAGGUUCAUACAAAAUUGUUGGUUCACUGUGCAGGGUAUUUGGCACCAUAAAAACCAUCUACUUUCAUCUCUGAUUCUGAUUCCCAGUUGCUAAAGUAAGAGAUUGUAGUUGGCCCAAUAGUGCAGGCCCGAGAGAUUGGUUUUCUCUGCAUCUAAGUGUGAAACUUAUUGCUUUCCCUUAGUGAAUCCUAGCAGUUUUGGGGUGAUAAAUUGCAGCCUAAUUGUUGAUCUAAGUGGACCGAUCAAACCUAUCAAACACCCAGGGACUUUGGUAUUUGUGUAAUGUUAAUACUUCUGGGGCCAGAUUCAGCUAUUAAUGCCAGAAACAGUAUACCAACACCAAAUAACUAUCAAAAGAUUUUGCACCAUUUCCAAUUAAAUGAAAUGUUGCUUAUGCCCAGCCCCCCUCCAAAGGAAGAGAUGUUCCUAGCUAUAGAAGUCUAGGCACUCAUGAAACCUUAGCAGAACUUGUGAAUGACUUUUAAUGGAAAAUAUGUUUUUCUCUAGAUACUUUUUGAAGUGAAAAUAGGAUGACAUUAAAAUUCAACAAUGCGAGUCAAGUCGGCAAAUGCUUGUCACCUAUCAAAGAGUCCCCCUAAUUGUACUUUCUGUUACUAGGUUAAGUAAACACACGUAUAGGAAAAGGUUUUGGGUUGCUUUAUGGUUUUCUACAAUAUCUGCAUAUCCAAGUUGAGCUCUCCCUUUUAUCUAAACCUUCAAAACUGCAAAAUAGCAUAAGCAUAAAAUGUCCACCACCAGCAGUCUACCCAUAUUGUUCAAAUUCAAAUAAAAGUAUGAACACAUUAACACAAGGGCUAAAAAUAAAUUUCAGAUAUAAAUGUUGAUUACCUCAAGUUCAUUUUUCUCGUUCAAAGCACAUUGCAACUGUUUCUUGAGAUUUCCAGCUUCUUCUUUGUAGAACUCUUCUGAGCGAGAAACCUGAUACAAAUAUGAUAUGAAUAUAAGCACAAAUCCUAUCAAAUGUCAUGCUAUUGUGCAGUUAACUAUAAAUUAAGUUAUAUUCAAUGCAGGGGAAUCAUAAUUUACACUAUCAUUCACAGGAGGCAUUCAUGCAGAAUAAAAUUACAUCUAUAUCUCCGAACUAGUCCAUAUAAUUUGCCAAGAUUGGUCAUAGGAGAAAAAUGAGUUUCAAACAUAAGAGUUGGUUACCUCAUUUUUUUCAUCCAAAACACAUUGCCAUUGUUUCUUGAGAUUCUCAAGUUCUUCCUUGUAGAAUUCCAGAGAGCAAGAACCCUGAAAAAGGUUUAAAUGAAUAUGAACAUAAGAUCUAUCACAUGUCAAUAAGGUAUUGUAGUUUACAGCAAAUUAAUCUGAACUUCGGAAAGUUACAAAAUGACAUCCAUGGCAGUAGCAACAAUAUUGCAUUUCAUGGCAGUCCUCAAGGCAUUAAAAUCACUUUAAUGUGUUAAUAACUCUCAUUUCUCAAUAUGAUCUAGAUAUUAUAUAUAUAAAAACGCUUUAUGCAAAAAUUUCUCUUUGUUAGAUUUCGAGAUUUCAUUCUUGUGAACCAUUACCAUAUAUUGUGUUGAAAUAUAAAGCUAAUAUUUACAACAAAAAUUCCAAUUUUAAAACAAAAUUGCAGCCAAAGUUCAAUAAGAUGGACUGCAAAGUGAGCCAACUUUUCUCAUCCAUCAGAAAUAUUCACAACACUAAAGGCCUCUUAGUGGCUGAUGGUAGAAAUGCAAUCAACAAUACCACAGGCCAAGUAUCAAACAAUGAAACACUUACGAUAUACCAUCAAGUGUACAUUUGUAUUAGAUUCACUUGGCAUCCAUACAACAAUAUCUCACUGCAGUCCAAAUAAUAUGAGAUUACAUCCAAAGUCAAUAUAAUUAGAUCCUUAGCACUCAAAACAAGAUAUGCGGACAUUAAAAUUUCGAUAAGCCAGAACAAAUUAUUAGGAUGUAAAAGAACACCAAUUGUCGUGCUGAAGAAUUCCUAAUACAAACACCACUUAAAGCAAAAAAUAACAAGAAUGUCCUUACUAAUAAAUAAUAGGAAGGAUAGAUAUUAGGAGAAUAUCAUACGCUUACAUCUAGUUAUGAGAUGUAUAGUAUAAGCAUAUAGAAAAUUCGUGCGCCCCCCUCGCAGACAAACACAAAAAGCCAAUAUGAUACCAAUUUAUAGAUCGCUGAACCAAUCAAUUGUGACAAAAAAGGGAGAAACUUUGCCACUAUUACAACGUUCUGAUAAGCAAUGACAAAAUAAACAAACUCACCGAGGCUAUGUUGCUUGCUGCCAAAGAUGGAUACUUCCCUUCAGGAGUCAUACGUAACAUAUCAAAAUCAGGAGUGCAAUGGCCCUUAUUCAAUUUUUCCCACAUAUCUUCAUCAGCAAAGUCUACAAACUCAUCUGGAAUAGGACUUGCAUCAGGAAGCCUUUGAUAGCUUGAGUGUUUUCCAACACAAGCAUUUGAUGAUUUAAAACUAGGAGUUUGGAAAGCAUCCUUUUGUGGUGUGCUAUGACACUCAAUGGAUCCCUCCCUAUACCCCCGUCUGAACGAGAUCUUUCCCUGUGAUACAAAUACCAAUGUCAUCUACCAACAUUUUGAAGAGAUAAUAGCACAAAAACAAGAUGACAUAUAAAACACAAAGAAUGCAGAACAGAGAAUAAUGAAGUUUGAUUUUUCAUUAUUCAUUCUAACAACAUCUAUGAACACUUUUGACGAAGCCCUUAUUAAAUAAAGAACCAAUAUGUUGUCUGAUUCCAACUAAUCCAUAACCAUACAACAAACACUUCCAACAAUCACUUCAAACACAUCAAUGAGUUACCAAAUCAUUCUAAAUAAUCAGAAAUUCAAACUCUCAAAAGUAAUACAUUGUGAUUAGAAAAAAAACCAUUUUUUACUUCAUCCCUGGACCAAAAUAAAUGGUUAAGAUAAAGACAUCAUGUUAAAUCAAAACCCAAAGUUAGUUCAUUCACAAAGUUUAGCGAAUUUGCAAAAUGACGAUGUUUACUAGUCCGUAACGAGAAUUUUUUUUGCUGACUCAUGUAUUUAGCAUGCAGAUAACAUAGAUUUAGUGGAGAGAUGAGUGAGUUAUCAGUGACAGUGUAUACAUCAAGGGUCAACGUUAAACCCAUACCUCUUUGUCUUAGUUAUGGACGACUUAAGUAGGUACCUACAAGAUGAGGUACCGCGAUGUAUGUUGUUCGCAGACGGCAAUAGUUUUGACCAAUCAGACCCGACACAGAGUGAAUACAAAGUUAGAACUUUGUAAGGAUGCUCUAGAAUCCAAAGGUUUUAAAAUUAGUUGGACUAAGAUAGAGUAUAUGGAAUGCAUGUUUAAUAACAAUAAGAGUAGAGACGAGAAAAUGGUUAGGAUUGACGGCCAAAAACUACCAAAAAGAGCACACUUUCAAUAUUUGGGGUUGAUAAUCCAGGAAAGUAUAGAAAUUAAGGAAGAUGUUACACAUAGAAUUAGAGCUGGGCGGGCGAAAUACAGAUGCACAACCGAAAUUUUAUGUGAUCACCACAAUAUCAAUGAAGUUCAAAGGGAAGCUCUAUAAGACCAGCUUUACUUUAUGAGCAAAAUGUUGGACUGUCAAAUCAACAUACCUAUAGGAUGAGUGUAGCUAAGAUGAGAAUGUUGAGAUAUAUAAGUGGCAAAACAAGAAGGCAUAGAAUUUGAAAUGAAUACAUUCGGGAGAAUUUAGGUGUGGUCCAAUAAGCGAUAAGAUGAGAGAAAGUAGACUUAGGUGGGUUGGCCAUAUGCAGCGAAAACGCAGUACAGCACCUAUUAGUAGGUGCGAUUUGGUUCAAGUGGAAGGCUCAAAAAGAAAAAUUGGUAAGCCCAAAAAACAUGGUUGGAAGUAAUGAGAAAAGAUAUAGAGACUUUUCGCCUCACUGCGAGUAUAGCCCUUGAUAAAGUAGAAAGGUGGACCAGAAUUCUUGUAGCCGACCCCAAGUAGUUGGGAAAAAGCUUUGAUGAUCAUGAUGUAAUGAAGAUGAUGAUGAUAUAUUUAGCACACAAAUCGUAAAAAUUUCAGUUAUAUACACUAUAACCCACUAUCUUAAGAUAAAAGGGACUAGCAUAAUGUACACAUGAUACUUCUUGUUGGUCCACAAUGUCAAAUAAGACAAAAAGAAGAAAAAAACAUAAAUUAAGGUUCAAGUGAAUGAUCUAUCAAGCAUAGAGUAAUAAAAACACAUGAAACAAUAGGAAUGUUCACAGUUGUUAGUCGCACCUGAUCUAAGAAAUCCAAGCUCAGCCGUCGAGGAAAUGAAUGUUCACAGCUGUUUGUCUUUCAAAGAAUGAAAUACAUCAAUAAGAGAAAUACAUCACAUUAUUAACAAAUUACAAAAUAAACGAUGGGUGACAUGCCCUACGCUAUACCUUCGCUGAAUUCCUAUCUUGAUCAGAACAUAUAAGACUGCUAAGAUUAUCUAUUUUCAUUUGUUGUUCCCUAUCUCGCUCUUUAUGCAAUUUCCUCUCUUGUUCAAGCUCCCAUGCUAGCUUUUCACGUUCUGAUUCAAACUAAUGAUCAUAAAAAUAAGAGUGAAAAAUCAUCAAGCUACAAUGAAACAUCUGCAAGUAUAACUCAAUGAAUUGUUACUCACCUUCAGCAUCUCAUUUCGCAACUUCAAAAUCUCUUGUUCGAAUACCUCCGAAUGUGAUCCCUGACCCAAGUAAAAACUCUUCAGCUGCUGCACAAUAUUCAAUGGUCGAUGAAAUAAAACUAAAUUUCACAAGUUGUCACCUGCAAUAUUCUGCGAAGCUCUUCUAUCUCUUGCUUUUGGCGCUUCAAUAGGGCCGCAUCAGUCAAGAUCUAAAAGAGAAUACCAACCAUAAAAAAUUACUUAAAAUAAAGAAAGAAUUUGAAGCAUCAAAAUAUGAAAUAAAGCAGGCAGAUAACUCAAACAAGAAAGUUUACAAGUGAGAGGAAA